UUUGACCCAGGUGCUGCAUGCCGUCGUCAGCUCGUGUCGUGAGAUGUUGGGUUAAGUCCCGUAACGAGCGCAACCCCUAUCCUAGUUGCUAGCAGUUCGGCUGAGAACUCUAGGGAGACUGUCGGUGACAAACCGGAGGAAGGUGGGGAUGACGUCAGGUCAUCAUGGCCCUUACGGCCAGGGCUACACACGUGCUACAAUGGUGCGCACAGAGGGCUGCAAACCCGCGAGGGGGAGCCAAUCUCACAAAACGCAUCGUAGUCCGGAUCGCAGUCUGCAACUCGACUGCGUGAAGUCGGAAUCGCUAGUAAUCGUGAAUCAGAAUGUCACGGUGAAUACGUUCCCGGGCCUUGUACACACCGCCCGUCACACCAUGGGAGUGGAUUGCACCAGAAGUGGUUAGUCUAACCUUCGGGAGGACGAUCACCACGGUGUGGUUCAUGACUGGGGUGAAGUCGUAACAAGGUAACCGUA
rnacentral:rRNA from 1 species